rnacentral:rRNA from 1 species
CACGUAGGGGGCUAGCGUUGUCCGGAAUCAUUGGGCGUAAAGAGCGUGUAGGCGGUCCGGUAAGUCCGCUGUGAAAGUCGGGGGCUCAACCCUCGAAUGCCGGUGGAUACUGUCGGGCUAGAGUGCGGAAGAGGCGAGUGGAAUUCCUGGUGUAGCGGUGAAAUGCGCAGAUAUCAGGAGGAACACCUAUUGCGAAGGCAGCUCGCUGGGACGUAACUGACGCUGAGACGCGAAAGCGUGGGGAGCAAACAGG